rnacentral:RNase_P_RNA from 1 species
AGAGCCGGCCAGGCAGUCGCUCGCAGGGUUCUGCAGUAAAACGCAGGAACGUGCGGGAGGAAAGUCCGGGCUCCAGAGGACAGGACGCCAGGUAACGCCUGGGGGAUGCGAGUCCACGGAAAGUGCAACAGAGAGCAGACCGCCCAAGUCGACGGUGAAAACCGCCGACCGGCAAGGGUGAAACGGUGCGGUAAGAGCGCACCGCGCACAUGGCAACAUCGUGCGGCAUGGCAAACCCCGUCCGGAGCAAGACCAAAUAGGGAUUCCAUGACGUGGUCCGCGUCGAAUCCGGGUAGGUCGCUGGAAGGUGGUGGUGACACCACUUCAAGAGGAAUGGCUGCCUCCUGGCCCGUGCCAGAAGACAGAACCCGGCUUAUCGGCCGGCUCUUCGC